CUAAGAAUAAGGGGAUGAGGACGACUUUACUCUGUUAUGUGAACGAAGAUUUGCCACUUCCAUAUAUACAGUAAACUCGACAAUGGAAAAUUCUCCUUCUUUCAAGGCUCAGCAAGCCUUGGUGGUGCAGAGUGCAAUAGAUAUUCUUCAGCAUAUUGAAGGAGAUCCUAGAACUCAGCUUAAAAAGAGAAGACUGUUGUUCUCUUUUUCUUUCUGGGUUGCUUAUUGGAGGAGAAGGGAGGGUUGCUUAGGGCAGUUAUUUAGCUUUUCCUUUCAUAAUUGUGCACAGGAUUGAGUGGACUGAAAAGAAAAGUAGGCAUAAGAAAGGGGAAGUGGGAUAUUUUUAAAGUCGUUGGCACAGUAGCGUGCCCUGGUUUAGAUUGUAGUUAUUUUUUGUUCUUGGCCUUCAGAAGAAGUAUUUGUUUCAAAUUUAUAAUUCCUAGCUGAAACUAGUUUUACCAAUUACACCAAUCUCAUUUAUUCCGUCAUCAUAUUUCUCUUUAUACAAAUUAGGUCGUUUUAUGUAUGCAAAAUAAAUUA
rnacentral:misc_RNA from 1 species